rnacentral:lncRNA from 1 species
GAGUCAUUCGUGCUUUUGGUGUCAUGUCUAAGAAACCAUUGCCUAAUCUAAGACCAUAAAGUUCUUUUACAUGAUUUUUAUAGUUUUAGCUCUUACAUUUAGGUCUUUAAUGUAUAUUUAUUAUUUUUUGUGUAUGGUAUGAUUAAGGCACCAUCUUCAUUCUUUUGUAUGUGGAUAUUCUAUUUUUCCUGCACUUUUUAAAAAAAAAUUUUUUUAAUGCUUUGUUUGUAGUUUACUCUCAAUUACAUUUGUAAUGUUUUCAGUUUCUUUUUUUUUUUUCCUUCUUCUUCAGUUCGAGAGUGUCUCGGCGGCAUACCUAGAUCACCGAAAGUAAACCAGGAGAGAACAAAACACGCGACAGGCGGGAACCCGGACCGCUCGUACAGACGAGAUGGCAGCCAGGCCAUUGAGUCUUUCCAGCACCAUUUGUCUUCCCUUUUCCUGAGGUGUAUCAUUGAGAGGAUCUGACAGGUACUGAAAUAUUAAUUUUUAUCUAAUUAUAUCUACUUUGCUGUCACUUUUGAGAGAUAUUUGUCUUUCAUAUGGAAUUCUAGGUAGGCAGUUGUUACACCAUAUUCAUGAUCUCUUUCUACCAUGCUCUGGAUCCCACAUUUGAGAAGUUAGCUGUUGUUCCUUUGAUAAGCCGAACACAAAAUUUUACCAUUGUUUAAAUAGUGAAACAAAAAUAUAAAAGUGGGCACAACCAAAUCCUCUCU